rnacentral:lncRNA from 1 species
UCAAUGUGGUCAUUUGGGAGAUUUUAUUUUUUUUUUAAAUAGUAUUUUCAUUUUGCCUCUUUACUUCCUGCCUAAUGAAGAUAGCUUGGCUUUAGAAACUUUAGUAAGUGCAUUCUGUACAGGUAUGUGGGAAUACAAAGAAUUUGAAGGCAUAAGAAAAGCUACACUAGUGAAAUGCCUAAUAUAGAUAAACUCAGGAAGCGCUGUUUUGCAUUUUGCCUGCUUAUUUAUUGUUCACAGAGACAAGUAAAGGUCAUCUUUUGCUAAUGGCAUUAUAGCCUUGGCCUUCUUGUAUCAAAGUAUUAAAUAUUGUAAAGAAAUGUUUCUGUGAGAGGGGGAUUUUAAUUAUAAUAAAUAUUUAUGUUUUCAUUUUAGCACAAGUCAAUUUUCUUUCAAUACUGAAGUUCACAGUAAUUUAUUCAUGACCUUUAACUGAUUUUAAGAAAUGUAGAUUGGGAAUUAUUGCUCUCCUCACCAUUGGAAGUGCCAAGUCAGGAAUGCCUUGAGAAGCUUCAAGGGAUUUUAUUAAUGAGAUCUACUUCUCCUGUUAGAAUAAAACAGCUAAAGCUGCUGGUUUUGCUCAUCUUAGUGUAUAUGUGGAGGAUCAAUGUUUAAAAUCAUAUGGAAGUUUUUGAUCUAAGAUAAACAAGUGAUCAGACCACAUAACACUAUGCAGUUUCUCAUGAAUAAUCUGAAUUUGUUGAGGAUUAAUUUUCAUCCUUGUGUUUCUGACUUCCCUCUCCCUAAAAGUUGAAAUAGUAAAAAAAAAAAAAAAACAAAAAACCAACCCCAAAACAAAAACAAACAAACAAAAAUAAACAAACAAAGCAAAACCCCCAAAAUAGCUGAGUUCAAAGACUGAGUAAGAAAAGAAAAAAAUUCUGUAUAUGUAUGAAUGUAAUGGUAGGAGUAUAUAGCAUAUCUACCCAUGUAUAUGUAAGGUAUGUUCAGAAACAGAGAUGUAAAAUGUAUUUCUUCACAAAAUACCUUAAUCCCAAUGAACCAAUGCUGUAGACACAAACUUCAAAGAAAGAUUUAGAAAGUAGACACCUGGGAACUGUUAACAUUUCUAUAUAGCUUUCUUUUCACUAAGCAAGGCCUGACAGUCUGGCACACUGACAAGCAUGGAAAGCUCAGGAACCCUGUCUCCUUUUUUUACUUCUCAUAGCAUGAUGUAAUCUGGGUAACUCCUCCAUCCUAUGAUAGGAGUAGAUUUCCUUGGUUCCAGCAGGGCAUUCUGUCAUGGAUCUGUACUGAUAAACCACUUUCAUGACCUGUACCUCAUAUGGAGUAUUUGAAUUGUGAACUUAACAUUUUGUUUGGAGAUGAAAAUAAGUAUUUUAGUUAUGAUCAAAUGCAAGUUCAGCUCUCUAGUGUUUAACACAUUCUAGAACUGUCAAUCAUUUUUAUUAUACUUAAUUUGAUAAUUAAUUUGACA